rnacentral:lncRNA from 1 species
CUUGUAAGCAAACAGCAUAUAGCAGAUCAUUCGUAAGAAUCUUCUAGUUCUUCAACGAAUGUUCAUAUGAUUAUCAUUCGCAUCAUUACUAAACCGGAAUGGCAUAACCGGUUUGCCAAACAUUACACUUCCAAUAAACUUCUGGUUUACUAUUACAUGUAUCUCAAUUUUCUAAUCAUUGUGUAGUACAACACAAUAGGCCUUGGGUAAUACUUUUGAUUGAAGGUAUUCA